rnacentral:rRNA from 1 species
AGUGAACGCUGGCGGAAUUCUUUACAUAUAAAACUCGCGCGGCAGCACGGGGGCAACCCUGGUCGCGAGCCGCGCACGGGUGUGAAAUACCGCGGCACAUGCACUGUCGGGGGGGAUAACACUGCAAAAGAAGCUCAAAUACCGCACACGUCGGGAGGGAAAAAGGGGGGGAUUCUCGGACCUCGCGAGUGGGGCGUGGCAGAUGGCAGAUUAGCUAGGUGGUGGGGUAAGGGCCUACCAAGGCAACGAUCUGUAGCUGGUCUGAGAGGAUGAUCAGCCACACUGGGACUGAGACACGGCCCAGACUCCUACGGGAGGCAGCAGUGGGGAAUUUUGGACAAUGGGGGCAACCCUGAUCCAGCCAUUCCGCGUGAGUGAAGAAGGCCUUCGGGUUGUAAAGCUCUUUCGGCAGGAACGAAACGGCGAGCUCUAACAUAGCUUGCUAAUGACGGUACCUGAAGAAGAAGCACCGGCUAACUACGUGCCAGCCGCCGCCGUAAUAC